GUCUCGGAUAGCUUAACAGGUAGAGUCUUUGGCGCGUAACCAAAAGAUCCAGGUUCGAGUCCUGGUCUGGGCC
rnacentral:tRNA from 1 species